rnacentral:lncRNA from 1 species
UUUUUAUAAGUCAACACCCCUCAACAUAUACUAAACUUCAGUUUAGCAGCUCAGAAUCUGUUCCUUUUCGCCGGAGCCCUUCUAAACGUCCGUUUAUGCUCAAAUUUGACAGUCAGACUUGGUUUAAGCUAAUAGAAAGAAAUAUAUCUUAACUUUUCAGUUUUAACUAUUUUUGGUCACCGAAAACUCUACCGACUAAAAUCUCUAGCGGAUAGCAGUUAGAUUUUAUUUUUCACUUUCCGGGUGUCGGAAUGAUAUGAAACUUUAAAUCUAACCUCAUAAAAAUAAUUCCGACAUAUUCUUCAAUUUUUAUAAUUUUCUGACACUGUGAAUUUUCUGCUAAAAUAUCAGUCUCGUUCCUUACAGAAAAUUCUAAAUUUUCUAUUUUCGUCCGGAUUUCAGCACAAGUUAUUUCCAAUUUAUAUUUUACUUCUUUAAGUCAAAUAAAAAUAGUAUCUCACACUAUUUUUAUUUAUAUUUACUUUUAUAUUAAGAAGUUGGUACAUUAUAUACUAUGAAGCGUUUGAUAGACAUAAAAGGACACCAAAU